GUUCAGAUCACAUUCUGGCACGGAUAUGAAAAGAUAUACAACUUUUACUUACAUAUAUUUACAUUAUGCACAGGAGGUGUGUGUGUGUGUGUGUGUAUACAAGGCAUUGUUACAGCUCUGUGUGGAAGUAAGAUAUAUUAAAAACGAUUCUCGUUUCAGAGCCUAAACACGUUUGCCUUCUACUGCCUUGAGUCAAAAACAGGAAGGUCAUCGCCAAACAUAUUUUGGUUUCAGGUUUCAACUGUACCGGACAGAUGGCAGACAGUGUGAAUGGCGUCGUGUGGGCGAGCGAUUUGCUGACGUCAACGUUGUGAACAGAGUGCCUCAUGGUGGCGGUGGGGUUAUGGCGUGGCCAGGCAUAAGCUACGGACGAGAUCCUGAGGUCCAUUGUCGUACCAUUCAUCCGCCGCCAUCACCUCAUGUUUCAGCGGGAUGAUGCACGUCUCCAUGUCGCAAGGAUCUGUACACAUUUCCUGGAAGCUGAAAAUGUCUCAGUCCUUCCAUGGUCUGCAUACUCACCAGACAUGUCACCCAUUGAUCAUGUUUGGGAUGCUCUGGAUAGACGUGUACGACAGCGUGUUCCAGUUCCCGCCCAAUAUCCAGAAACUUCGGACAGCCGUUGAAGAGGAGUGGGACAACAUUCCACAGGCCGCAAUCAACAGCCUGAUCAAGAAGGAGAUAUCUCGCGCUGCAUGAAGCAAAUGGUGGUCACACCGAAUACUGACUGGUUUCCUGAUCCACGCCUCUACCUUUUUUGUUGUUGAUAUGUGACCAUCAGAUGCAGAUCUGUAUUCCCAAUCAUGUGAAAUCCAUAGAUUAGGGCCUAAUGAAUUUAUUUCACUUGACUUGAUUUCCUUACAGUUCAUAUAACUCAGUAAAAUCGUUGAAAAUGUUUAUAUAUUUUUUUUACCGUGUAUAUUCCAACGUAAGAUGAUAUUUUCCAUGGGACUGUGUGUUUUUCAUCUGUGGACACUUUCAAUACAAUAACACACAAACACCCAAUUUUCAGAUACUUUGACUUGCUUGCCUUUUCAGGGCCCCCCCAAAAAAAACACAGCUACACAAAAAAGACAAGACUGAGGAUUUACCAUUUAAAAAGAAAAAAUAAAUUACAAAAAAAAUACAGUUAACUUUCCAAAUAAAAAUGUUUUGCAUUCAGAACUCAUUUCAGUUGCAACAGCAACCUUAAAAAGAUAUUCUAUUUAAAAAUAGGAUUAAUCUUAGAAUAUAAGCAGGGACAUUUUUCAAAAAUCCAUGCUGCAAAUGUAACUCAAAUACUUAACGACGUAGUUAGUGAUACUAUAGAUUGUAUAGGCUGUGUAAAAUAGCUUGGUUAACAGUUGUGCUAUAGUGGUUCUGAUUUAAUGGUGAGGAAAGUGCUGUGAGGAACACAGCUUUUACCUAACAGCCUAUCAGACUAUAGAGUUGGACCCAAAUCUCUUCUGGGCCACACUGAGGUGUAUUCAUUUGUGCGCUAUGAAUGUUUAUAUUGCACGAAUUCAGGUAGGUUCCUCUCUGUUUGCUUUCCUAGUGAAUUCACGCGUGUUGAAUAUGCUUACGGUCAAGUUCAUUUUGUAUGGCCCGGUGCCCUGGGUAGGCAGUGUUUGUACAUUUUUAGAGCAUUGCAUUGGUCCUUAAAGUGAAAUCUCCACCCACCAGGGAAACUGGACCAUGUAAAACAAACCCGCCCAUAGAAAAGUGAGGAAGGAAACGUUUGAGUUGGUUUCAAACUGCAUGAAACACACCACUUGUAAAACAAAAACUGAUAAGAGAUCUCACUUCCUUGUAAAGUGUGUCAAAUAGAAGACAAGGUCUUAAAAUUAACUACAUUUUUACAAAUCUAACUUAUUCCAGAUAUUGCUAAAUAUGUACAUAAACAAAACAAACAAAGGGAGAAAAAAAAGUGUUGAAUUAACAGUAUGCAGAUACUGGGACUGAUGCUGGGUUAAGACAGUACAAAGUAGUCAGAGCCCUAACAGUCAAGACAGUACAAAGUAGUCAGAGGCCUAACAGUCAAGACAGUACAAAUAGUCAGAGGCCUAACAGUCAAGACAGUACAAAGUAGUCAGAGCUCUACCGGUCAAGACAGUACCAAACUGAAGUCUG
rnacentral:lncRNA from 1 species